UACAGAGGUCUCAAGCGUUUGUUCGGAUUCAUUGGGCGUAAAGGGUGCGUAGGUGGUGCUGUAAGUCAGGUGUGAAAUCCCGGGGCUCAACCCCGGAACUGCACUUGAUACUGUAGUGCUUGAGGACUGGAGAGGAGAUCGGAAUUCAUGGUGUAGCAGUGAAAUGCGUAGAUAUCAUGAGGAAGACCAGUGGCGAAGGCGGAUCUCUGGACAGUUCCUGACACUGAGGCACGAAGGCCAGGGGAGCAAACGGG
rnacentral:rRNA from 1 species